rnacentral:rRNA from 1 species
UAGGGAAUUUUGGACAAUGGGCGAAAGCUUGAUCCAGCAAUGCCGCGUGUGUGAAGAAGGCCUUCGGGUUGUAAAGCACUUUUGUCCGGAAAGAAAUCCUUGGCUCUAAUACAGUCGGGGGAUGACGGUACCGGAAGAAUAAGCACCGGCUAACUACGUGCCAGCAGCCGCGGUAAUACGUAGGGUGCAAGCGUUAAUCGGAAUUACUGGGCGUAAAGCGUGCGCAGGCGGUUUGCUAAGACCGAUGUGAAAUCCCCGGGCUCAACCUGGGAACUGCAUUGGUGACUGGCAGGCUAGAGUAUGGCAGAGGGGGGUAGAAUUCCACGUGUAGCAGUGAAAUGCGUAGAGAUGUGGAGGAAUACCGAUGGCGAAGGCAGCCCCCUGGGCCAAUACUGACGCUCAUGCACGAAAGCGUGGGGAGCAAACAGGAUUAGAUACCCUGGUAGUCCACGCCCUAAACGAUGUCAACUAGUUGUUGGGGAUUCAUUUCCUUAGUAACGUAGCUAACGCGUGAAGUUGACCGCCUGGGGAGUACGGUCGCAAGAUUAAAACUUAAAGGAAUUGACGGGGUCAUAGCUGUUUCCU